rnacentral:rRNA from 1 species
GAUGAACGCUGGCGGCGUGCCUAAUACAUGCAAGUCGAGCGAACAGACGAGGAGCUUGCUCCUCUGACGUUAGCGGCGGACGGGUGAGUAACACGUGGAUAACCUACCUAUAAGACUGGGAUAACUUCGGGAAACCGGAGCUAAUACCGGAUAAUAUAUUGAACCGCAUGGUUCAAUAGUGAAAGACGGUUUUGCUGACACUUAUAGAUGGAUCCGCGCCGCAUUAGCUAGUUGGUAAGGUAACGGCUUACCAAGGCAACGAUGCGUAGCCGACCUGAGAGGGUAAUCGGCCACACUGGAACUGAGACACGGUCCAGACUCCCACGGGAGGCAGCAGUAGGGAAUCUUCCGCAAUGGGCGAAAGCCUGACGGAGCAACGCCGCGUGAGUGAUGAAGGUCUUCGGAUCGUAAAACUCUGUUAUUAGGGAAGAACAAAUGUGUAAGUAACUAUGCACGUCUUGACGGUACCUAAUCAGAAAGCCACGGCUAACUACGUG